UACGAGGGGUGCAAGCGUUGUCCGGAAUUACUGGGUGUAAAGGGAGCGCAGGCGGGAAGGCAAGUCAGUGGUGAAAUGCAUGGGCUUAACCCAUGAACUGCCAUUGAAACUGUUUUUCUUGAGUGGAGUAGAGGUUAGCGGAAUUCCUAGUGUAGCGGUGAAAUGCGUAGAUAUUAGGAGGAACAUCAGUGGCGAAGGCGGCUAACUGGGCUCUAACUGACGCUGAGGCUCGAAAGUGUGGGGAGCAAAC
rnacentral:rRNA from 1 species